AGCACUUCCACUGCACUCUGUUGAUCAAAGCAAGUCACAAAGCCUGCCCUGAGUCAAGGGAGAGGAAAUGGCUUCUAUUUCUCUAAAGGAGGAACAAUAUGCACACAUAGGGAGAGAUGAAUCAACAGUGGCCAUCUUUGGAGACUAUCUACCGCAGAUUUUAUAAGGGCGCAGAUGAAGGACGCUCUUUUCUGCUUCAGAUAACAUCAUCUCUCACCUGAGACUGGAGAAGUUAAGGACCUUCUCCAGGGACCUUAGCAGGGACGUCUGCUAGCAGAUUAGUCUGGAACUGGAACUCUGUGCAGCAGGUACCCCAGGAUAAGGUAUCAUCCAUCUGGACCGUCUCAGAAACAGAAUCUCACUCUGUCACCCAGGCUGGAGUGCAGUGGCAUGAUCUUGGCUCACUGCAACCUCCGCCUCCUGGGUUCAAGCGAUUCUCCUGCCUCAGCCUCCCGGGUAGCUGGGAUUACAGCUGCAUCGCGAGAGCUCAGAAGCUCAGUCAAUGCAAAACAGAAGGCACUGAGGGAAAAUUUCAGAUGAGAAUGGACGUACCCUCUCCAGAGGCAAAGAAGUUUGCAAAUUACUUUUUGAAGCCCUCUCUAUAUAAUUUUGAGGUUAAAAAUGCUUUCCUCCUGGAAAGGAGAGAUUUUAAUCUGGAUUGUAUGCUGGAGCUCAAUGAUUGAUCCAAAUCAGAGUCCAGAGGCCUCAUGGGAAUGAUGAUCGUCAGGGCUACAGCGGGGCAACUGCAGAUGGAGCUUGCCCCUCUCCUCCAUAAAUGGGGAAGAGCCUCUCACCUUCAGUGAGGUUUUGUGCAUAAGAAAGGGGAGGCUUGUUAGAGACAGCAGCUUUGAAAACUUAAUUCUCCUUGCCAAGAACUAAUGGACUAUCUUCAAUGUGCAUGAAAAUGUGUCUGCACAGUGACCAGAGAAGCCAAAAUGAGGCCUCUACAGACCUAAUUUGGCAUCAAUUUAUCUCCAUAUGAGAAAGUCUGGUUGUACUUAUUUUUCUCUCUGCUCUAACCAAGAAAAAAACAAAAACCCGGCAAAGGUUCAUUGAGACAACAGUCGGUCACAAAAAAGGAAUUUGAACCAAGAUAACGUAGUUACAUUUUACCCACAUGUUCCUGAGGCCAGUGUGCUAAUAGUUAACAAAUGCUAUUUACCCCAUCACCAUUAGAUUAACAUUUAACCAAAUCAGCAUAGAGUUUGUGUGACUAAAAGAAUCUACAAACACACACACACACACACACACACACACACACAAAUCUUUUUUUUUUUUUUGAGACGGAAUCUCGCUCUGUUGCCCAGGCUGCAGUGCAGUGGCACAAUCUCGGCUCACUGCAACCUCCAUCUCCCAGGUUCAAGUAAUUCUACUGCCUCAGCCUUCUGAGUAGCUGGCAUUAUAGAUGUGUGCCACCAUGCCUGGUUAAUUUUUGUAUUUUUAGUAGAGAUGGGGUUUCACCAAGUUGGCCAGGCUGGUCUCAGAACUCCUGACCUCAAGUGAUCUGCCCGCCUAGGCCUCCCAAAGUGCUGGGAUUACAGGCGUGAGCCACCACACCCAGCCACAGAUAUCUUUUGAUAUCUCAAGAACUAUGGACGGAAUUAAAGAAUUCCAAGACCAAUUAAAGAAUUUCAAGUGAGACAAUUCAUUUUCUUAUGAUCUUGGUCCUGUGUUUGGAGAGGCAAAUGUGUGUUUUAGUGAAAUGUAAAUCCAGGGAGAAAGUGCAGUAGAAGAAACUGCUCACCUGUCCUUGUAGCUAUAGCUAACCUUUAUGGAGCUCUAUCAGCUAGGCAGUAUUUACUCAUCAGUUCUGGGAGGUGAAUGCUGUUAUAAUCUCCAUUUUCCAAAUGUGACAACAGAGACACAGAGAAGUUAAGUGACUUGCCCAACAUCAAACAGCUAGUUUUACAGGACCAUGCUCCUUGCAUAAGUUGUUACACAUGGUCCCCCUAGCUUUGUGGCUCAUGAUCCUGUGUGCAGAAUGCUAUUGUGGAAAGCAGGGAGAAAAUCAAGCUGCGGUAUACUGGGAGGGAAAGAACAACGGAAAGCUCUUAAGGCGACAACAAGGACAAUGUCUCCAAGGACCGUGCAAUUUCUCAUCAGUGAGGUACUGGUCAGGCUCCCCAGCCUCAGAGGCCCAUCCAGGGUUUCUUCGCUGCCAGAGUCAUGCUGUUCAACUGCUCGUAGGGGUGCUUCAGCCCUGGAAAGGAGUCCAGGCGGUAGGGCUGCCAGAGACCUGGCUGGUGUAUCCAAAGACAAAGGAGGUUGCCAUUCCUCUGUGAGGUGGGGAGGAGCAGAUGUUUUGCCUCUAGUGAGACAAUAAUUUACUUCCCUAUUAUUGUUUGACUUUGCCUUGUUUGUGCCUGUGAAUUACUAACAGAGGCUUGCAGCGCUAUCUAUGGGGCCUGAAACGUACACUAAGGGGCCAUAAGGCCUUGAGAGAGCUGAAAAAGAAAUCAUCACCCUAGCCUCACCCAGUCAUCUGUCUCCAGGCAAAAUAAUUCCCUGUCCUUCAUGAUGAUUCGGAGAAGACCAGCCCCACUCAGCUGCUGUUGCCAACCAACCAUAGUUCUUGUUACCCUGGGCCACAAGUGCCUUAUCCACCAGAUUGAGAAAGUUAAUGCUAGAGGGAAGUGAGAAACUAACUAUGGAAGAGUGGACCCAUGUUGCAAAAAACAAAGUUCUAGGGAAAGAUGUGAACAAAGAUGGGUGAGUAUGAAUGGGGUCUGACUGGAACAUGGCAGAGAAGAAAUUCAACUAUGCAAUGAGAUAAAGCAAAGAUUCUAAUGAAAGACUGAUGUGGUCAUACAAACAAACAAACAAAAAACAGGUGCCCAAUGAAUACUUCUAACUGAAAAAAAAUCUGAAGAUGCUGGUCAGAGGAUCCUCAGGAGGGAAAAAACCUGACUUUCCUUGUUAAGGGCCUGUGGAGCAAGUAAUUGCAGCUUGAACCAUGGGGUCUCCUUGGAGCUGCGGGCACCAAGCAUCAGAUCUGAACACAGAAGCUGGGCCAGUUUGUUAAGUAGGGUGCGGCAGAGACUGUUAGUUGCCUAUCCAAUAUCCAGCUCCUCUUUUUCCUUAGUCACAUAACCCAGAUUUUAAUCUGGGUGGCAGUGUGCUCAGCUGAAAGACUACACUUGGAAGCCACAUUUGCAGCCUGAGGGCCAGUGAGACAUAAGCAGAAGUUGUUGGGUAGUCUUCUGUGGACUCCUUAAGAGGGAAUAGACUACUCACAGACUCCUUUUUCUCCUCCUCCCUUCCUUCCAUGCCUUUCUGGAACAGGAAGAUUAACAUGAUGAUUGGCGCUCUAGCUGUCACAUUGGACCAUGAAGUUAUCUGUUUUUUUUUUUUAAUUAAUUUUUAGUUUUAUUUCAGUGGUUUUGGGGGUAUAGGUGGUUUUUGAUUCCAUGGAUAGGUUCUUUAGUGGUGAUUUCUGAGAUUUUAGAGCAGUGUACACUGUACCCAAUAUGUAGUCUCUUAUCCCUCACCCCUCCCAACUUCUCCCCACACCGAGUCCCCAAAGUCCACUGUGUCAUUCUUAUACCUUUGCAUCCUCAUAGCUUAGGAAGUGAUCUUGAAGAUGAAAGCCAUAUUCUAAGGACGGCAGGACGAAAAGAUAAAACUUUGAUGACGCUGUAUCUCCCAUACCAGCCAGACUCCAGCCUUCUUUUAUAUGAGAGAGAAAUAAGCUUCUAUGUUGUUGAAAACACUGUUACUUCUUCAUUCACCCAGGACAUCACAAGCUUAGUGAUCUUGGAAAGGCUUUGACAGAGGAGUGAAAAACUGGCGUGUUUUGGUUUGUUUAUUUGUUUCAGUUAAAUAAACUGUAAGACAAAGGUGAUUUAAAAUGACAAAAUAUAGUCUCUGAGCUCAGUCAUAAAAAGGAAUCAAGGGAU